rnacentral:misc_RNA from 1 species
UAAACGAGCUAACGCCCAUAGAACCGCCUUGUUUAAAGUUUUUAAAGGUUUGUUUAUCGACUGAUUUCUAAUCCGCGACUGGUUUUUAUCAAAUGUCUGUUUUACAUUUUAGUUGGAUAUUUUUUCCGCAUUUAAGAAGGAAACUUUUCACGGAUGUAUUGUUUGUUUGUCAUAGUACACUAAUAAAUAUUUAAAAA